AGACGGGUAAGAGAGGGAGAUACACACAAUACAAACAAUAUUUUUGAGAAUAGGGUUUAUUUGUGGCUGUCGGAAAACACACACCAAUGACGGCUCACAAAUCAUUGUAUCUAACGUGGGUAUAUAACAGGGGUUUGGACUUCUAAUGGUCAUAUAAAUAUUCGAACGCUUCAGGGUCUUCGAAUUCUUCGGGUCUUGAGAGUCUUCAAUUGGUGCAGCUUCAAUUCUUCAGUGCAUGAC
rnacentral:lncRNA from 1 species